rnacentral:misc_RNA from 1 species
GAUGAAGAACGUAGCGAAAUGCGAUAAGUAGUAUGAAUUGCAGAAUUCAGUGAAUCAUCGAAUCUUUGAACGCACAUUGCGGCCAUAGGUAUUCCUUUGGCCAUGCCUGUUCGAGCGUCAUUUACACCCUCAAGCCUAGCUUGGUGUUGGGCGUCUGUCCCGCCGUUCUCGCGCGCGGACUCGCCUCAAAGUCAUUGGCGGCGGUCGUGCCGGCCCCCUCGCGCAGCACAUUUGCGCUUCUCGGAGGCCCGGCGGAUCCGCGCUCCAGCAAGACCUUUCACGACUUGACCUCGGAUCAGGUAGGGAUACCCGCUGAACUUAAGCAUAUCAAUAAGCGGAGGA